GACGAACGCUGGCGGCGCGCCUAACACAUGCAAGUCGAACGGAGCGCACGAGAAGAUCCCUUCGGGGUGAUUUUUGUGUUUGCUUAGUGGCGAACGGGUGAGUAACACGUGAAUAACCUACCUCUGAGUGGGGGACAACAGUUGGAAACGACUGCUAAUACCGCAUAAGACCACGGUACCGCAUGGUACAGAGGCCAAAGGAGUAAUUCGCUCAGAGAUGGAUUCGCGUCUGAUUAGAUAGUUGGUGGGGUAAUGGCUCACCAAGUCUGCGAUCAGUAGCCGGACUGAGAGGUCGAUCGGCCACAUUGGGACGGAGAUACGGCCCAGACUCCUACGGGAGGCAGCAGUGGGGAAUAUUGCACAAUGGGCGAAAGCCUGAUGCAGCGACGCCGCGUGAGGGAAGAAGGUUUUCGGAUUGUAAACCUCUGUCUUUGGGGACGAAGAAGUGACGGUACCCAAGGAGGAAGCCACGGCUAACUACGUGCCAGCCGCCGCGGUAAUAC
rnacentral:rRNA from 1 species